rnacentral:rRNA from 1 species
CGGGACGGGUGAGUAACGCGUGGAUAACCUGCCUCACACUGGGGGAUAACAGUUAGAAAUGACUGCUAAUACCGCAUAAGCGCACAGUACCGCAUGGUACAGUGUGAAAAACUCCGGUGGUGUGAGAUGGAUCCGCGUCUAAUUAGCCAGUUGGCGGGGUAACGGCCCACCAAAGCGACGAUCAGUAGCCGACCUGAGAGGGUGACCGGCCACAUUGGGACUGAGACACGGCCCAA